CCUUUUUUCCUAAAUGCGAAAGAAAACGUGAGAAAGAGAGAGAGAGAGAGAGAGAGAGAGAGAAAGAAAGAGGGAUGGACUUCGGGCUAGCAGCGCUGAAGCUGGUGUGCGCUCAGCUGAGGGAGGCCAAGGAAACACAGUCGCAAAACUCCUUCACUCUUGGCGGCAUUCUCUUCCAACGCGCCUGGUUACAGGGCGUUCUGGUCUCCACCUCCGACGCGGGAGCCCCCUUGCUUCUCGACGACGGCACCGGCGUUAUCCACCUCUCCCUCUCCGGCGACUUCCGUCUCCGCCCUUGGAAGACAGGGAUGUAUGUAAUGGUGGUUGGAGGUUACAUUGCGAGUUUGGGUGAGCCCCCCAUGAUUAAGGUUCACAAGAUUGUUGAUCUUUCAGCAUUCCCGGAUCGAGAGGCAAUGUGGUAUCUUGAAGUUAUUGAGGCAUACAAACUGUUCUAUGGUCCCAAUUGAAGAACUUGUAUGUUUCUGUUCAGAUCAUAUAGUGGAGAGAUAGUGAACUUAGUAACCCCAUAUGCAGAUUGUAGCCCCAUGAUGCUGAUUGAAAUUGCCACAAAGCUAGAAGGGCAGCACAUUAUCAACCAUCACAAGCCAUCCCUGUCGUACUAUUGAUUCAUGUUUCAACCAGGCUUAAGUAACUCUGAUUUGAUUCAAGCAGAAGUACUAGAAGGGCAGCACUUAACUAACCACGGCAACCCAUCCGCCCCAAGCCCUUUCUUUUGCCAGUGAAGUGCAUUAAGCAAGCAAAUGUUUCUGAUGACAUGCCUUUAUCUACAUGCAAUUUCCCCAAGGUCACAUCAAAGAUCCACUUGAUUUCUAUCAGAAAAUCUACCUUGCUAAAGGGGGGCUGGAGCAAUGUUAGCUGGCUGGGCUCAUCAGAUCAUCGUUUUGAUGUACAAGGCAUAAAUUGAAUUUUUGCAUUGUUGUAAUGACAGCUGAAAUUCCCACAUUCCUUGCAGGAUCCAGAAUGGUGUUCCUCCUAGCAAUAUUCUGUGCAGGAGUCUGCUGUAAUUGUAUGGGACAUACAUCUCAAAAGUAGAUCACAAUUAUGACACUUUCAAGAAAGAUUAUUCCCCAAAGCAUGAUGCAGAGAAUCUGUAAUAAAAGAUUAAAUAUUAGCAUCUGUGAAUGAACAUCAUUCAUAAAUUUUUAGCUCUUUCCAAGCAAAAGUUCAAUUAACAUGUCGUAUUCACACA